rnacentral:misc_RNA from 1 species
GGAACCCAUCCAUAUGUUAUUCAUUCUCAGUGAUCCUAAACUAAAGAAUCUUGAAUAAUAAACAUGACAGGUUAAAAGUUUACUACAGUGAUCUUUGAUCAAAGUUAAUGAAACAACAGUUACACGUACAAAUGACUAAAUAAGUUUGAUGGUUAUGAUUUAUGCGCUAGAGGCACAUACUGGCAGACCAUUCAUUAAUACAUUGCUAACAUGAGUUUGAUCCUUGCAAAACUAAUAAUACACAUAAUAUUUUUAUUCAACCAAGAUGUAUUAUGUAGGAGACAUCAAGUCUCUUAUUCAGUGUACAUGUAUAACCACCAUUGCCUAGAAAUUAUUGAGCUUGAAAGCGCUUCUUGAACAAUUCAACAUGCUCUUUAGGAUCUAAUUUUGUCUGCUUGUAGGCCUCAAUCUUGUUUAUCUCCUCAAUCCAAGCAGCAAGUUUAGGCCUGCCUGCAGUGAUAUCAUAUUUGAAUACCUCUGACAAGAAGAUUUGGAAUCUUUCAACAAAUGGUAUAUAGGCUAUAUCCACCAAACUGAAUUGGCCAAGCAAGAAUGGCGCAACAUCAAAUUUGUGAAGAGCAUUUUCCAAGUAAUCAAAAGCAGGACCAGCGUCUUUUGCUGGAUCUCCCUUAAAUGAAGUAUACACAAUUUUGUUGAAAGUAUCAGUGUAGGCAAAUAACUCUUCAGCAAACUCUUUUUUAGCAGGAUCCUACAGUAAUUUACAGCAUUAAUUUAGCCCAACUUCCCACACAUACAUAAACAGACAGACAAUAUGGCCUUUCAUCUCGGAUGCAAACAGAAUUAUGUACAUCUUACAUCAGGGAGCAGAGAUGGCCCUUCAAAGUUGCUAUCAAGGUAUUUAAUCAAAUCAAGACUCUCCCCAAUGAUUUUGCCAUUGUGUUCCAAAGCUGGCACCUGUAAACAAGGAAUAUUUCAAUAUCAACGAAGAAAAAUUAAACAGCUUCUUAUCCUCAUCAAUAAUAAUAAAAAUUAAAGUAGAUAAAGUUGAAAAACAAUACAGUUUACUGAAAUAGCUCAAAAUUUUAAACUGACAGAGAAGCUUUAGAAGUCCAAAAAUAAUGAGAAAUUCCAAGACAAUUAUCUUUUAGGGCAUGUUUGGUUUGCUUCUGAAAAAGAAUUGGAGAUUUUGGAUGUUCAAAUAUAGUUUGAUGGCAUCCAUAUUUUCACCAAAAUUCAAGCAAAUCAAACACAAAGAAAUUUGCAUUCUCUGGGUACCAAAAAAGAAAAAGAAUCCAUGAUCCUAUCAUAAGAAUUACAUUCCAAAGCAAAGUAAACAUGGGCCUUAUGCGUCCCAAGAGCCAAAGAGCAUAAUAAAGAAGAAAUCGCAGUUUCUUUAAUUUAAAUAUCUCAUAAAGAAUUCCAGCUUCUGAAGAUAAAAAAAGGAAAUGCAUGAUAUGCACUGACCCUAUUAACAGAGUAAACUUUCUCCCCAUACCAAGAAGGCCUACUUUGAAGGUUUAAAGGAACAAGGUGGAUUUUGUCUUGUAAUCCCUGCAACUCUCUCAAAAUCACACAAAUUAAAAGCAGUUGAAGGAGGAAAACAGGAAAGACAAAGGAGAGAAAAGAUUAAACAACCUUAUAGUUCCUAGUGAUCCACACACGCUGUGCAAAUGGACAUGUGUAUGCAGUGUACAGCCUUCGAGUAAUUUCCAAAAUCAAACCAUCAAUUCCAUCAUUCCAUGCGAUUUCAAUUAAACUAAUAAAAGAAAAAAAGAAGACCUUGUGGUUCCGUCGAAGAGUGGAGGUUGGUCUGCAGUGGCAUCCAACACCGGAGGCAAAUUCUCUGGCACGCUCUUAUCUAAUAAA